rnacentral:rRNA from 1 species
CCUACGGGUGGCAGCAGUCGAGAAUCAUUCACAAUGGGGGAAACCCUGAUGGUGCGACGCCGCGUGGGGGAAUGAAGGUCUUCGGAUUGUAAACCCCUGUCAUGUGGGAGCAAAUUAAAAAGAUAGUACCACAAGAGGAAGAGACGGCUAACUCUGUGCCAGCAGCCGCGGUAAUACAGAGGUCUCAAGCGUUGUUCGGAAUCACUGGGCGUAAGGCGUGCGUAGGCUGUUUCGUAAGUCGUGUGUGAAAGGCGCGGGCUCAACCCGCGGACGGCACAUGAUACUGCGAGACUAGAGUAAUGGAGGGGGAACCGGAAUUCUCGGUGUAGCAGUGAAAUGCGUAGAUAGCGAGAGGAACACUCGUGGCGAAGGCGGGUUCCUGGACAGUAACUGGCGCUGAGGCACGAAGGCCAGGGGAGCGAAAGGGAUUAGAUACCCGGGUAGUC